GGACCCCAUCUGCCCCUGCAUCUCCGUGUGCAGCUCUUGCGAGGCCAGACGGCCACACACGGAUCAUCCUUCUGCCCGGAGGAGGAUUCUCAGGUCCACACUUUUUCUUGGCAGGUCUUGUUUUUGUUUUGCUUUGCUUUGUAAAUGAACUGGCUUUCUGAUCACUGGGACUUCCAUCCUCAGUGGGACACAAGAUCACCUGAUCCAGAAGCUCCCAGUUCCCUCAAGUGGCCAAAGCAGGUAGGGAGUGGCAACGGCAGACCACACGGCAGGGGGGGGACCCCAGGCCAGUGACCAGCUUCUGCCCCAGCCAGGUUUUGGAGCUGGAGGAGCAGCCCUGCCUUGGGAGGAGCUGCCCCGUACCCUGCCAAGUCUACACAGUGACUCACAGGUAUUACUGUACCAGGAAAGGGUGGAGAGCAGCACCCAGAACUGUGGGCAGUGAGCGGACAGUGACCCCACAUGAUGCGGAAACCUAGGCUCCACUCCAGGGCCUCAGGUGGUCCAGGGACCACCCUGGUCUCUGAAUGUACAAAUGAAAUGGGAUAUGGAUUAAAGUCAGAUCCAGACUCUGGUCUCCUGGAAGCUGGAGGUCAUCACAGGCUCACGCUGCGUCCUCGGGUGUGGGCAAAGGCCAGAACCGUUGGACGAACACACCAGUUGUCCCCACAGGCCCCUGGGCCAGAUGCCAGUUACAGACAUCCCAGGGAAGAAUAGCCAGACCGAGUUCCACCAUGAGAGUCCUACAGGAAGCGGAGAGCUGAUCCUUGGAGCUGCCCUUAUGUGUCAGUCUGGCCCGAAAAGAGCAGACGGCCCUCACCUUGGUCAGCAUCUGGGACACAGACGAUAUCCCGGAGGAUCUGCUAGCAGACUGCAUGUGAGUACGAG
rnacentral:lncRNA from 1 species